rnacentral:sRNA from 1 species
ACUUUAUCGAGGAGCCGGUGGUAGGUGGCCCGUAGGCCUCGGGCACCGGCGGCCGACAUCGCCGCCGAGGGAUCGUUGGCAGCCGGGUGGGAGCGUGGCUGUGUUCUCGUCCCUGGCUGACAACGAAGGGGAGCUAGUCACUUUUCCUGCCACGACGACUCGCGUCCGCCUCUCGCCUGGAGUACCCUUCCCGCGUCUUUCCCUGCCCGCUGUGAACCGAAAAGCUGCGGCCCGGGCCCCGCGAUGGUUGAGGGGGCGGAGGCUGCCGACUGCCAGCCCCUGGUCCGCCUCCGGCCCCCGGCAGGAGAGAGGGAGGAGGAGCCAUGGCAACAGGAAGAAGAGAAUUUAUCCAAAGAUUAAAACUUGAAGCAACCCUUAAUGUGCAUGAUGGUUGUGUUAAUACAAUCUGUUGGAAUGACACUGGAGAAUAUAUUUUAUCUGGCUCAGAUGACACCAAAUUAGUAAUUAGUAAUCCUUACAGCAGAAAGGUUUUGACAACAAUUCGUUCAGGGCACCGAGCAAACAUAUUUAGUGCAAAGUUCUUACCUUGCACAAAUGAUAAACAGAUUGUAUCCUGCUCUGGAGAUGGAGUAAUAUUUUAUACCAACGUUGAGCAAGAUGCAGAAACCAACAGACAAUGCCAAUUUACGUGCCAUUAUGGAACUACUUAUGAGAUUAUGACUGUACCCAAUGACCCUUACACUUUUCUCUCUUGUGGUGAAGAUGG